rnacentral:pre_miRNA from 1 species
AUCGUACUUCCUCCGUUCGGAAUUACUUGUCUCGGAAAUGGAUGUAUCUAGAACUAAAAUACGUUUAAAUACAUCCAUUUUCGCGACAAGUAAUUCCGAACGGAAGGAGUAGUUC